rnacentral:misc_RNA from 1 species
AAAAUGUGAUAAGUAGCGUGAAUUGUAGACGCUUUGAACGUUAGCUUUCGAACGCACAUUACGCCGUAGGAGUCCUACCCUAGCACAUCUGGUUGAGGGUCGUGAUCAAAAACAGCCACACAGUAGCUGGAAUAGAACGAAUUGGUGAAUCACGAGUCCGGACAACCCGUACGGCCGUACGUCUUUUGUCAUUGUGCUCUAGGGGAUAGCGGGGCUCCCUCUUGGGAGCCUGCGGCUACCUGCCACACGGAUGAGCUAUCAGCUGAGGCGAUCGAUUUCGGCCUUAGGGUAUCAUACUACGCUUUCGUAUAUGCUCUUCGGCGUCUGGGAUACAGCUGAUUGGUUUCGUAAUUGCCUGGUGAAAGUAAAUUGCUUUCCCGACCUCAACUCAGGUGUGAUU